rnacentral:rRNA from 1 species
GUGCCUAAUACAUGCAAGUCGAACGCUUUGUCUUUAAUUGAUCUGACGAGCUUGCUCUGAUGUGAUUUUAUCUGACAAAGAGUGGCGAACGGGUGAGUAACACGUGGGUAACCUACCUCUUAGCAGGGGAUAACAUUUGGAAACAAGUGCUAAUACCGUAUAAUACCAACAACCGCAUGGUUGUUGGUUGAAAGAUGGUUCUGCUAUCACUAAGAGAUGGACCCGCGGUGCAUUAGCUAGUUGGUAAGGUAACGGCUUACCAAGGCAAUGAUGCAUAGCCGAGUUGAGAGACUGAUCGGCCACAAUGGGACUGAGACACGGCCCAUACUCCUACGGGAGGCAGCAGUAGGGAAUCUUCCACAAUGGGCGCAAGCCUGAUGGAGCAACGCCGCGUGUGUGAUGAAGGGUUUCGGCUCGUAAAACACUGUUAUAAGAGAAGAACGGCACUGAGAGUAACUGUUCAGUGUGUGACGGUAUCUUACCAGAAAGGAACGGCUAAAUACGUGCCAGCAGCCGCGGUAAUACGUAUGUUCCAAGCGUCAUCCGGAUUUAUUGGGCGUAAAGCGAGCGCAGACGGUUAUUUAAGUCUGAAGUGAAAGCCCUCAGCUCAACUGAGGAAUGGCUUUGGAAACUGGAUGACUUGAGUGCAGUAGACGAAAGUGGAACUCCAUGUGUAGCGGUGAAAUGCGUAGAUAUAUGGAAGAACACCAGUGACGAUGG